ACCUACUGCUUUUGAACUUCUUACUCAAUCGUCUGUGUGUUCUUCUCUUUUCCUUCCGUUUAUCGCCUGCAGGGCGGUGGUUGAUGAUCAUACAUUGGUGGUUGUGGCAUUUGAGCCAAUUCCUUGCAAAUUAGAGUCAUCAAAUUGGCUUGUUGACAUUGCAUUUUGAGAACCUCUGCUUGAGCCUUGGCUAACUCUCCUUGUAG
rnacentral:misc_RNA from 1 species